UCCCAAUUGUUCUGUUUUUAUUUGUAAAAAAACAAAUGCACCGACCUUAAAAAGUGAUACUGUCGGGUGGGAACGUUGCAGAAGAGGAAACAGUUAAAAUUUCGGGUCGAUCUGGGCAAGGAAGUCAUUGAGUUUUAGUUCGUUGUAACUCAUCUUGCAUGAUGCAACUCACCGGGACAGUUUCACCAUUCAGUGAUUACGGUGGGACUGGUAUUUCCUUAUCAAAGUUGUCACCUCAACACAUAAACUCUGAAUGCAGCUUUUCUCACAUUAUUUGCGGAGGCUCUUUGUAACAAAGCGACUGUAAUCUCAUUUUCCAGUACCUUGCAUUCAGCCUCGAAGUCACAGCCACCAGUGACUCUCCCAGUUGACAGUGUCAAUGUCCACCAUCUUUGUAUCUUACUUGUAGCAAAGAAUUGGGAUAUCCAGGAGGUCGUGGACCAGUAGCCAAUUCACUACGUGAAGAUCUUUAGAUGCAGAGAACUUGACUCUCCCUGAUCCCUGCAAGUGAUUUCAACAGCAACAGCGGCAGCAGCUUAAAUCAUCCAGUGACCGACUACCUUGAAGAAAUUACUUGGGUUUCAUGAUCAAGAUCAGAAAUUAUGUCCAGUCAGCCAGUUGAUAUUAUUGACAUUGGAAAGCGGAAGAAGAAAAAGAGAAGAACCAGGGCUACGAGCAGCCUUACUGGAAAGUUUGAAGAUUUGUACAAAUUGACUGAUGAACAACUAGGUGAAGGAUCCUACGCCAAGGUCCGAGGCUGUGUCAAUUUACACAGUGGAAAAGAAUGUGCUGUAAAGAUAAUUGAGAAGAAAACAGAUCUGAGCCGAAAUAGAGUGUUCCGUGAAGUUGAGACUUUAUACCAAUGUCAGGGAAACCAGUAAGUUUCAAAUCCUGCAGUACGGGAACUAUGAGCAGUGAUAUCUUAGAGAAGUAGUACACUAUUGCACUUAACAAACAUUAGUAUCCUCUUGAAGAAAAUUAGCAGACCACUUUAUUUAUAGCUAUUUCUGUCUUCCUUUUAAUUUUUAACUUUCUAUCUUCCUCUUCUGUUUCAAUCUCAUUUUUCUAAUUAACUUCUAUGCUUUCUUCUGUUCUCAGUGCCACCUUCUGUUUAUUUAUUUGCAGAGUAGGAGAGAAAAAAAAAGGUCUGAUGGGUCUAAGACAGACCAUUAACUAAAGGCAGUGCCUGUUGACACCACACAUGUGCACACUGCUUGAAAAUGUGUGCAUGCAUGUUUACUGGAACAUGUGCAUUUAUAUGGAUUCUUCACCGGUAUUAAAAAAACACGCUGGCAAUGAAAUUAGCAGAAAACCAACUAACAUGAGGGACUGAGGCCUGAAGCUUGGAAUGGUUACGUCUCAUGCACAGAUGGUAAUGGGGGAAGAGAGGAGUUGUUGUGAAAGGGGUAUGGCCCCCAUCCCCCAUCACUACAAUCAUAACCCCAUCACCCACCCCCUCCCUGAUCCUCCUCUUCACCCAGUUCCCCCCACCCCCAUUCUGUCCUUGUGCAUGCACCCAACCAUCUCCUGUAUUCACAACUGCUCUCCCCAACACCCCCCCACUCUUCAUUUCACACCAUGUCUGCCCUCAUUGCACCCAACCCCCGCUCCACUCUUCUCACUGUCCAUUCCCAACCACUCCAAUCCUGCCUAGUCCCUGUCCUGCCUGCUGGACUCCAUUUCAAUAGCACACUUCUUUCUGCUCAUCUACAGUGCCUUCGUAUAUGUCAUUGUCAGAAUUCUGCAAGAUGUAUCAUCCAUGAUGCAGUUUGGAAGUGGCAGGAAGUAUUCAGUACAAGAAAAAGUUGAUGGCGGAGAACGACUGGAAGUUAGGAAGGCAAAUGUGAUGUUAACAUUCCUUUCAACAAGGCUAGAAUACAAGAGCAGAGAUGCACUGCUGAGGCUGUAUAAGGCUCUGGUUGGUCAGACCGUAUUUGGAAUAUUGUGAGCAGUUUUGGCCCUGGAUGGAAGGAUGUCUUGGCGUUGGAGGGGGUCAAAUAAUGUUUACAAGAAUGAUCCCAGAUCCUCCUGAUCAGAAGGCUAUGGAGGCCAAGUCAUUGAAUUACUGCAGAAGGCUGU